rnacentral:rRNA from 1 species
AAUAGAUACCCGGGUAGUCCAUGCCGUAAACGAUGUCUACUAGCCGUUGGGGCCUUUGAGGCUUUAGUGGCGCAGCUAACGCGAUAAGUAGACCGCCUGGGGAGUACGGUCGCAAGACUAAAACUCAAAUGAAUUGACGGGGGCCCGCACAAGCGGUGGAGCAUGUGGUUUAAUUCGAUGCAACGCGAAGAACCUUACCUGGCCUUGACAUAGUAAGAACUUUCCAGAGAUGGAUUGGUGCCUUCGGGAACUUACAUACAGGUGCUGCAUGGCUGUCGUCAGCUCGUGUCGUGAGAUGUUGGGUUAAGUCCCGCAACGAGCGCAACCCUUUUCCUUAUUUGCCAGCGAGUAAUGUCGGGAACUUUAAGGAUACUGCCAGUGACAAACUGGAGGAAGGCGGGGACGACGUCAAGGUCAUCAUGGCCCUUACGGCCAGGGCUACACACGUGCUACAAUGGUCGGUACAAAGGGUUGCUACACAGCGAUGUGAUGCUAAUCUCAAAAAGCCGAUCGUAGUCCGGA